ensembl:lncRNA
GAGGAGGAGGAGGCUGAUCACAGUAGAGAUACUGAAGACAGUGUGGUGGAGGAGGAGGAGGAGGAGGAGGCUGAUCACAGUAGAGAUACUGAAGACAGUGUGGAGGAGGAGGAGGCUGAUCACAGUGGAGAUACUGAAGACAGUGUGGUGGUGGAGGAGGAGGCUGAUCACAGUAGAGAUACUGAAGGCAGUGUGGAGGAGGAGGCUGAUCAUAGUAGAGAUACUGAAGGCAGUGUGGUGGAGGAGGAGGAGGCUGAUCACAGUAGAGAUACUGAAGACAGUGUGGUGGAGGAGGAGGAGGCUGAUCACAGUAGAGAUACUGAAGACAGUGUGGAGGAGGAGGAGGAGGAGGAGGAGGCUGAUCACAGUAGAGAUACUGAAGGCAGUGUGGAGGAGGAGGAGGAGGAGGCUGAUCACAGUAGAGAUACUGAAGACAGUGUGGUGGUGGAGGAGGAGGAGGAGGCUGAUCACAGUAGAGAUACUGAAGGCAGUGUGGUGGAGGAGGAGGAGGCUGAUCACAGUAGAGAUACUGAAGACAGUAUGGAGGAGGAGGCUGAUCACAGUAGAGAUACUGAAGACAGUAUGGAGGAGGAGGCUGAUCACAGUAGAGAUACUGAAGACAGUGUGGUGGAGGAGGCUGAUCACAGUAGAGAUACUGAAGAUAGUAUGGUGGAGGAGGAGGAGGCUGAUCACAGUAGAGAUACUGAAGACAGUGUGGAGGAGGCUGAUCUCUCUCUCUCUCUGUGUGUGUGUGCCUGUGUGUGUGUCUGUGUGUGUGUGUGUCUGUGUGUGCGUGUGUCUGUGUGUGUCUGUGUGUGUGCCUGUGUGUGUCUAUGUGUGUCUGUGUGUGUGUGUGUGUGUGUGUGUGUGUGUGUGUCUAUGCCUG